rnacentral:tRNA from 1 species
GCCGCCAUGGUGAAAUUGGUAGACACGCUGCUCUUAGGAAGCAGUGCUAACUGCAUCUCGGUUCAAGUCCGAGUGGCGGCA